AGAAAACCACAAAAUAACGGUUAUCUACUUACGAAAGCCGGCGGAAAUCUCCAGAGCAUCGGUCAAGCAAAUUUCCUACUUGUGAGAAGCAAGCAAUGAUAACUACGUUCCUUUUCGCGUUGGCCUGUAUUUCUGCAUCGGCCCAAAAUGUCAGUAGCUCAACUGAAGGACCAGUCACCAGUAGCACUGGGCCCACUCCUGGAAUAG